GUGACAUCAGCUUUCUUUGGUGGGGUUGGUGGUUUAGUUUAGAAUUGAUUCUGGUUUGUUUCAAUUAAGCUCUUGUGUGGACUGGUGUGUCUGGUAUCUCCACUUGUGUCUUCAAUUUAUUCAAGAAAGUUUCAAGUCCUAAAUAGACAGAUUAUGGGGGCCCCCCGACGCCAUCACAAGAUGGUGCCUCUGCAUGCCAUUGUGACCAAACGUAUCAGCACUAGUAGGAAGAUAAAUCCUUCGCAGCGCCUUGCUGAGAAAUUCCUCUCAAGUACGGUGACAUCCAGUUACCUCCAUGCUACACACCACCUGUAGAGGUGUGCGGCGCCAUCUGAAAAUAUCCUAUCGGGACAUGAAGAGGCACCUCCUGUGUGGGGUCUUUGUCUGCUGCCAGCUUCCUUCUGUUCAUUAAGAAUAGUGGCUUGACAGCAGCAAGGACAAGCGAUAGAUCCUUGACUCUGAGCAACUACAAUUAUUUUACUGACGCAGUCCUGGCACAAGACAUGCCUGCAGCUCAGUGCGUUUUGCAGGCAAAACAUUUUCAUUGCACACAGGACACUCCCAUGUGGCCUUGUGUCAGUUUUCCUGUGUCAGUGCCAUUUUCCUGUUUACAUUUAUGCUGAUUAAAAUAUUUUAAAAUGUAAUUUUUUUUUUUUUUUGAAAAGCAA